rnacentral:rRNA from 1 species
UAGGGAAUCUUCCGCAAUGGACGCAAGUCUGACGGAGCAACGCCGCGUGAGUGAAGAAGGAUUUCGGUUCGUAAAACUCUGUUGUUAGAGAAGAACAGCGCAUAGAGUAACUGUUAUGCGUGUGACGGUAUCUAACCAGAAAGCCACGGCUAACUACGUGCCAGCAGCCGCGGUAAUACGUAGGUGGCAAGCGUUGUCCGGAUUUAUUGGGCGUAAAGCGAGCGCAGGCGGUCAAUUAAGUCUGAUGUGAAAGCCCCCGGCUCAACCGGGGAGGGUCAUUGGAAACUGGUUGGCUUGAGUGCAGAAGAGGAGAGUGGAAUUCCAAGUGUAGCGGUGAAAUGCGUAGAUAUAUGGAGGAACACCAGUGGCGAAGGCGACUCUCUGGUCUGUAACUGACGCUGAGGCUCGAAAGCGUGGGUAGCAAACAGG